rnacentral:rRNA from 1 species
UACGUAGGGGGCUAGCGUUGCUCGGAAUUACUGGGCGUAAAGGGCGCGUAGGCGGAUACUUAAGUCGGGGGUGAAAGCCCAGGGCUCAACCCUGGAAUAGCCUUCGAUACUGGGUAUCUUGAGUUCGGGAGAGGUGAGUGGAACUCCGAGUGUAGAGGUGAAAUUCGUAGAUAUUCGCAAGAACACCAGUGGCGAAGGCGGCUCACUGGCCCGGUACUGACGCUGAGGCACGAAAGCGUGGGGAGCAAACAGG